GAUGAAGAACGUAUCGAAAUGCGAUAAGUAAUGUGAAUUGCAGAAUUCAGUGAAUCAUCGAAUCUUUGAACGCACCUUGCACCCUUUGGUAUUCCGAAGGGUAUGCUCGUUUGAGUGUCAUUGUACUCUCACACUUCUAAUUCCUUUCGGGAUUGGGAGCGGUGGACUUGGGUGUUGCUGCUUUAGUUGUGGCUCACCUCAAAUAAGUUAGUGCAACUCUUGGUUGGACAUAGUACGGCGUGAUAAGUGUCUUCGCCGGCGCCUCUGUAAGGAGGGUGGCCGAUCGGGAGCUCUGUGCUUCAAACCGUCUUCGGACAAUCUUUGACAACUUGACCUCAAAUCGAGUAGGACUACCCGCUGAACUUAAGCAUAUCAAUAAGCGGAGGA
rnacentral:misc_RNA from 1 species